rnacentral:rRNA from 1 species
AACACGUAGGGGGCAAGCGUUGUCCGGAAUCAUUGGGCGUAAAGAGCUCGUAGGCGGCUCAGUAAGUCGGGUGUGAAACCUCCAGGCUCAACCUGGAGACGCCACCCGAUACUGCUGUGGCUAGAGUCCAGUAGGGGAGUGUGGAAUUCCCGGUGUAGCGGUGAAAUGCGCAGAUAUCGGGAGGAACACCAGCGGCGAAGGCGGCACUCUGGGCUGGUACUGACGCUGAGGAGCGAAAGCGUGGGUAGCAAACAGGA